rnacentral:lncRNA from 1 species
UUAGAUGGCAAACUAGGCUAGAAAGCAGACAAAGGAAUCUUUUCUGUAAAAGCCCAAUUUUUUAUAUUGCAGCACACUUCGAACAUAAGGCUGCUGCCCCAGAAGCAAGGAUCUGGGACCCAAGGAAGGAGCCCCAUCCAGAUGGCAGUCUCUCACUGAUCCAGCAACCAACAGAAGUCCUCCCUGCCUAUUUGAGAACCACUGGCACUUUGCUUGGAUUCAAAUGCCUUGGACUUGUCCCGGCUCUGCCAUGUGGUAGCCUUCCGUGGCCUUGAGGAAAUCACUUUAUGAGUCUCAUGUCCAUAUUUGUAAAUAAAAG